UGUACACUGUAUGCUAACUGUAACACAAAUGUAUUAAUCAUUAUUUUUCUUUCCUCCCCCAGCUCCAAGAAGAUGACACAGCUCAAAAUAAAAAUUAGGUAUAUUCUCGUAAAGUCAAGUGAGCCAUGACAUAUGAGCUCUUAUUGUGAGCACACAGGACGGUGGCAUCUUUCUAAGGUUUUUUUAUUUUCCCAGCAAUCAGUACAACCAAGUCAUCGUUAUAAGGCAUCGCCCUCUUUUGCCCACCCCCCCAGCACCAGGUGUGGCCAUUAGCCUAUAUGAAGGCCCAAAAUUGUGUGUUCCUUUCUGCUCUGACAAUGGCAUGCCCAUUCGUGCGAGAUGUGGUGGAUGAAGAAGCAUUUGUGCUGAGGAGAGCCUUCAGGCGAGAAAGGGUCUUCAGGGACCGGUUGGACCCACUGGCCUUCCCUGAUGACCAUCUAUAUGAAAGAUACAGGUUUUCUGCAGAUGGCAUCAGGUAUCUAUGCAGACUACUGGGUCCCAGGAUUAAGCACCGCACUGCACGGAGCCAUGCACUGAGUGUGGAGCAAAUGGUUUGUGUGGCCUUGCGCUUUUUUGCUAGUGGAGCCUUCCUGUACUCAGUGGGGGAUGCAGAACAGCUGAACAAGGCCACAAUUUGCCGCACAAUAAGGAGUGUGUGUGGCUAUCAAAGCAUUAGCAGAUGUCUUCAUCUCCUUCCCUGGCCACAGAAGAUUCUGUGACAUCAAAGAGGAGUUCUAUAGGAUUGCAGGUUUCCCCAAUGUCAUUGGUGCAGUGGACUGCACACACAUAAGGAUAAAAGCCCCCUCAGGUGCCCAUGAGGCCGAUUUUGUGAAUAGGAAAUCCUUUCACAGCAUUAAUGUUCAGAUGGUCUGCAAUGCUGACUGUGUGAUCAGCAAUGUUGUGGCAAAAUGGCCUGGCUCAGUCCAUGACUCCAGAAUCUUUCGGGCCUCUGAAAUCUAUCACAAGGUGAAUUCUCUGGUGUGUUGCAGGGAGACAGGGGGUAUGGCUGCCAGCCUUUUCUCCUGACACCUUUCACAGACCCCCAGGAAGCACAGCAGGCCUACAACCAUGCCCAUGCCAGGACCAGGGCCAGAGUUGAAAUGACCUUUGGCCUCCUGAAGGCACGCUUUCACUGCCUUCACAAAUUAAGGGUCAGCCCUGUUAGGGCAUGUGAUAUUACUGUGGCUUGUGCUGUCCUCCACAAUGUGGCCUGCCUGAGGAAGGAGAGGGCCCCCAGAGUGCCACCAGCCAUGGACUGGGACAAUCCGGCAAUCUUCCCUGAUGACGACAGUGGUCGGCUGCUGAGGGACCAAUAUGUGUUGAAUUAUUUUAGUUAAUAUGUGUGCUUUCAAUUUUGGUUAAAUAUGUCCUGCGGUGGCAGAGG